UAUAGUAUGCCUAGUAUUUUGUUCUUAAAAACCAUUUUGGCAAAACCCAAUUUUCGUGCAUUCUACUUCCUUUCCAUAGUGAUACCUUUUAAGCUAAAUUUUGGAAGCUUUGUGUUGGGAUUUUGAUGGGGCUUUGUGAAGGAAAAAUGUUUCUUAGAUAGUGAGGGUUCUUUUGAUAUCAAACUUGAGUCAAUUUCUUUUGUUGCUGGGUUUGGAAAGUGGUGUUAAAAGAAGAGGGUUUUGGUUGCAAACAAAGAAGGAAAGUGUUCUUCACCUUCUAGUUGUUGAUUUUGAUCCAUUUUUGGUGUGGUUUUGAAUUGUUAAGCAAGUGUUCAAGCUUCCUUUGAGGUCAUAGCAUGGAUGGUGUGGAGGGUGUUCCUCCUCAGUUGUAGACAGAGUCGGGGCUGGUGUUGUUGUGUUAUAUUCCGCAUAAUAGACUAUGUUUUGUAUUAUAUUUCCUAGAAUUUUCUUGGCAUGUAAUAAAUUUUCUUUCAGACUUUAAAACUUUAAAGUUUUAAUAUUUGCAUCUUAUCUAUUUAUUUUCA